rnacentral:rRNA from 1 species
AGAGUUUGAUCAUGGCUCAGGACGAACGCUGGCUGCGUGCUUAACACAUGCAAGUCGAACGCUGAAGCCUGGUGCUUGCACCGGGUGGAUGAGUGGCGAACGGGUGAGUAACACGUGAGUAACCUGCCCCUGACUUCGGGAUAAGCCCGGGAAACUGGGUCUAAUACCGGAUACGACUGCCGGACGCAUGUCUGGUGGUGGAAAGUUUUUUCGGUUGGGGAUGGGCUCGCGGCCUAUCAGUUUGUUGGUGAGGUAAUGGCUCACCAAGACGACGACGGGUAGCCGGCCUGAGAGGGCGACCGGCCACACUGGGACUGAGACACGGCCCAGACUCCUACGGGAGGCAGCAGUGGGGAAUAUUGCACAAUGGGGGAAACCCUGAUGCAGCGACGCAGCGUGCGGGAUGACGGCCUUCGGGUUGUAAACCGCUUUCAGCAGGGAAGAAGCGCAAGUGACGGUACCUGCAGAAGAAGUACCGGCUAACUACGUGCCAGCAGCCGCGGUAAUAC